CUGCUACUAAACAAUCUCCAAAAUAUAGUUAGUGCAAUAGCAAGGUGCAGAACGAUAUGUAUACUAUGCUUCUAUUUGCAUAAAAAGGGGAGCUCUAGUCACUUAAAAACAUAUAUAUGUGUGUUUGCUUGUAUAUGCACAAAAUAUGUUUGGGAGAACUUACAGACAAAUGAUGAGUGAAUGCCUCCAGGUAGGGGAACUGGAUGGCUGAGGGACAAGGGCAGAAAAAAUUCUUCACGUAUCUUUUUGUGCCCUUUGAAUUUUGAACCCAUGACUACAUUACCUAGUCAAUACUUUUUUAAUUAAAGAGAAACCCUCUUACAUCUCAAGAAGCCAAAGAAGAAAAGAUUGUAGGUAAUGGUGGGGGGCGGGGCACACUACUUGGAUUUGAAUCUCACUUCUCAGUUGACAGUAUAGCACGACAGGGUUUUAGAGGCAAUCUGGACUUGAAUUUUUGCUCUGGUAAGUUACUAGACCAUGUGGGUUUCAGUAAGUUUCUUAACUGGUCUAGGCCAGUUUUCUCAUCUGUAAAAUGAGGAUACCUCCUAAGUAUAGGGUGACUGUCAAGCACAUACAAAGGUAUGGUUUUAAAGUUAUUCCAUGAUUGAGUGGUAAUCUAUGAGUAAAUAGUCAAAUGUUAAUCAGUAGAUUUAGACUUAUCCAAACUGCUUUGUAUUUCCAUGCUCAAGUUAGAGCAAAGGACCAAAAAGCAGCUACUGAAAAACAUUGUAGAAUUUCCUGUCCUGAGAACUUCUAUCAGAUUGAAAAUGUCAUGGUGAGCUACCUAAGACCUGUCACAUGCAAAUAACUGUGCUCUUGAAUCAUAAAGGUGAAUGACUGCAGGCAUAGCAUGUACCACUUUGUAGCUUUGGCACAGAACGUGAACUGAAUAUAAGUAUAAACAAAACGGGGGGUCACAUCAUUGCCUGCACCAGGUAAAUCCUAUAUGGUGGUAGAGCUGAAUUUUGUGGCUCAACCAAUCUGUCCCAAUUGACAUAUUGACAAGGAAAUGGAAAAAUACACCAAGGUUGCUAGUGUGCUUAUCCCCUGGGACGGUGGCAAAGGAUGGAACAAAUAUUACACCAACCAUCACACCAAACUUGUGUACAACUUCUAAUAAAACAUAUAGCCUAUUGAUACUGAAAUGAUACACACUACAUUGCAAAUCCACUAGGUGGGAUGAGUGGAGAACGAAUAGCUAAGAUACAUAUUCACAUAGCUGUGGAAUUGCAACUGGAAAGCAAGGUCAUAAGAAGUACUCUACAUACCUGUGUAUAACUGUAACCAGCGCAAGUGAUAGGUACAAACAGACAAACAUUCAGAAAAUUACACUAAAAAGAAAACCAGGCCAUUUCUAAUUCUGCCAAACUUGUUAACUGUGUAAUAAUAGUUAUUCUGUUUCCCACAACAUUCUUCUCCCCAGCUUAAAAGGACAUCAGACAGUGUAUACAAAGCCUUGGAGAUCUCUAGAUGUUAUACAUGGGCACAGAGAUCUUACCUAAUUUCACAAUUUUACCCCUAGAAGAAUUUAUGACAAACCGAAAAAUAUGCCUCAUUUGUCUUUCUGUCAAUUUAACAAGGUUAGUUUAAUUAAUCCAGAAGCUCCUUCUUAACAGAGACACAUUUUCUGAGUUUGUCCUUUUUAGGUGCUUUGUUUGUGGCACGCUUCUGAAGACUACAUUAUGAAGCAGUUAUGAUUCCAAGAUAUGGAAGAAGAUGUUAAAACCAAAAAUCUUCUCUUGAAUCUACUCACCAUCUUAUAUUAAGAGUAAACAACUGUGCAAGUCUUUCAAAUUUCCCAAAUGAAAUAGCAUAAAUGCUGUUAUAGAGAACAAAUAUAGCAUCUUUUCAAAGGAUUAAAAAAUGGUGUUCAUUAAUGGUUACUCAUGAAUAAGCCAUAACUGGUGCCCAAGAAGAAAAACAAUUUACAAGAGAAACACUAAAAAAUUUAAACGAUAUACAGUUGACUCUUGGAAAACAUAGGUUUAAACUGCGCAAGUUCACUAUACGUGAAUUUUCUUCCACUUCUGCCACACUUGAGACAAGACCACCCUCUCCUCUUCCUCCUCACCCUGUUCAACAUGAAGAUGAAGAGAAUGAAGAACUUUAUGAUGAUCCAAUUCCACUUAAUAACUGGUAAAUGUUUCUUUUCUUCCUUAUGAUUUUCUUAACAACAUUUUCU
rnacentral:lncRNA from 10 species